GACGAACCGUGCGAACGUUGUUCGGAAUCACUGGGCUUAAAGGGCGCGUAGGCGGGCGGUCAAGUCAGAGGUGAAAUCCCCACGGCUCAACCGUGGAAGCGCCCCUGAUACUGAUCGUCUCGAGGGAGGUAGGGGCGUGCGGAACUUCCGGUGGAGCGGUGAAAUGCGUAGAUAUCGGAAGGAACACCGGUGGCGAAAGCGGCGCGCUGGACCUUUACUGACGCUGAGGCGCGAAAGCCAGGGGAGCAAACGGG
rnacentral:rRNA from 1 species